rnacentral:rRNA from 1 species
AUUGAACGCUGGCGGCAGGCCUAACACAUGCAAGUCGAGCGGAUGAAGGGAGCUUGCUCCUGGAUUCAGCGGCGGACGGGUGAGUAAUUCCUAGGAAUCUGCCUGGUAGUGGGGGAUAACGUCCGGAAACGGGCGCUAAUACCGCAUACGUCCUGAGGGAGAAAGUGGGGGAUCUUCGGACCUCACGCUAUCAGAUGAGCCUAGGUCGGAUUAGCUAGUUGGUGGGGUAAAGGCCUACCAAGGCGACGAUCCGUAACUGGUCUGAGAGGAUGAUCAGUCACACUGGAACUGAGACACGGUCCAGACUCCUACGGGAGGCAGCAGUGGGAAUAUUGGACAAUGGGCGAAAGCCUGAUCCAGCCAUGCCGCGUGUGUGAAGAAGGUCUUCGGAUUGUAAAGCACUUUAAGUUGGGAGGAAGGGCAGUAAGUUAAUACCUUGCUGUUUUGACGUUACCAACAGAAUAAGCACCGGCUAACUUCGUG